rnacentral:rRNA from 1 species
UACAGAGGUGGCAAGCGUUGUUCGGAAUUACUGGGCGUAAAGGGCGCGUAGGCGGCCUUCUAAGUCAGACGUGAAAUCCCCCGGCUUAACCUGGGAACUGCGUCUGAUACUGGGAGGCUAGAGUGCGGGAGAGGGAUGCGGAAUUCCAGGUGUAGCGGUGAAAAUGCGUAGAUAUCUGGAGGAACACCGGUGGCGAAGGCGGCAUCCUGGACCGACACUGACGCUGAGGCGCGAAAGCUAGGGUAGCAAACGGG